UUCCACUGAUGCUUAUGUUAA
ensembl:piRNA 21ur-372 ncRNA